GCGACGACGACUUGGACCGUAGAGGCAGUGGAACCGUGCGUAAGUUUGUGGUUUGUGGAGAGUAGGGUUUGCAUUUAUAUACUAUCAUACUAAUACUAUUAUGGGCUAAUGGUAAGUGGGCUGGCCAAAUGAGUCAGGUAGAUGUAAUGAGGGGAGGAGGGAUUUUGUUUUGGUCUGGAUAGAAAAGUAGUGUAAAGCCCAUAAUCAAUUCAAUUGUGUUUUUUUU
rnacentral:lncRNA from 1 species